AUUUUUUUCUUCUCCCUCCCUCUCUCUUCAAAUUCUUCAAAUCUAAAACUUCAUCAAAACCAUAUCAUGCCGGAACAGUGCCAAUUUGUUUUUUUCUUCCCCUUAACUCAUUUUUUUAAAUUCAACAUCCGAUCGGUUCAAGGCUAACUCGGUUGGUUCACCGGUUUUGAGGAAUACCGGCCGAUUUUGGCCGAUUUUCGUCGGAUCUAUUACAUACCCGGUACAACAAUUGUUCUAUACUAAUAAGGGGUCCGAUUCACCAGUUUUCCGGUUGAACCGGCCGGUACGGUCCGGUUUUAUCAACAUUGAGGCCAAGAGUUGGCCACUAAUAUUGCAUGCAAUCAUUAUUGGGCAAUUUUAAUCAAUUUAUCAUGAACUGAACUGUACAUGAACGAAAUUGAGAAACAUUGCAUGAAUUGCUCGGCAUGUUGAGAAUUGUUUAGCGCAACAUAAAUAAAGGGAAAUGGUUAGGUCAUAUUGAUGGUCUAACCUAUAAAGGACAAUAGAAAAUAAAAAAUGUAACAUAAGUCUAAAAGGAAACUAUUUAGAAAGGGCAAUAAUAAGUCAUAGACCUCUGACUUAAACCUACAGAUGGGGAAGCCAUGGAAGGAAAAUGCUUUUAAUGUGAGCAGACAGAACAUUGGAAAAUGAACUACCCAAUGUACUUUUGCUUUAGGUAUUAAUGUUAUAGAAGUUAAUUUAUCUGCUUCUAUAUCAUAUGUAUUGGAUAUUAGAUGUGGCUCUCAUAUUUGUGUUGAUGUGCAAGAUUUUAAAAGGAGUAGAACUUUGGCUAAAUAUGAAGUUGAUCUAUGGGUUGGGAUAGUAAAAAUUGGG
rnacentral:lncRNA from 1 species